GACGAACGCUGGCGGCGUGCCUAAUACAUGCAAGUAGGACGCAGUUGCGAACGGGUGAUUAACGCGUAGGUAACUACCUAUUCGAGGGGGAUAACUAUUGGAAACGAUAGCUAAUACCGCAUACUAGUAGAUGGACCUGCGUUGUAUUAGCUAGUAGGUAGGGUAAUGGCCUACCUAGGCAACGAUACAUAGCCGACCUGAAGGGGUGAGCUGCAAAAGUUGGACUGUGACACGGCCCAGACGCCUACGGGAUGCAGCAGUAGGGAAUCUUCGGCAAUGGGGGGAACCCUUAACGAGCAACGCCGCGGUGGGGAAGAAGGUUUUCGGUUCGUAGAGCUCGGUUGUUAAGGAAGCGUUACUUAUCCAGAAAGUGCCGGCUAACUCCGUGCCAGCAGCCGCGGUAAUAC
rnacentral:rRNA from 1 species